CUUUUUUGCCAUUUCUUUGGCCGCUCUUGUGUCAUAUGGAGGUUCCUAGGCUUGGGGUCCAAUCGGACCUGUAGCCACUGGCCUACACCAGAGCCAUAGCAACACAGGAUCCAAGCCAAAUCUGCGACCACAGCUCACGGCAACGCUGGAUCCUUAACCCACUGAGCAAGGCCAGGGAUCGAACCUGCAACCUCAUGGUUCCUAGUCAGAUUCGUUAACCACUGCGCCACAAUGGGAAUUCCAGAAAUGAGUAAUUUUAUAAGGGAAAGUACAGAGCAAGUGAGAAUACCUUGUCAUAAAGUCCCACAUAUGGUGUUAUUUAAAAGCGAAAUUAGUUGCAACUGUUAUUGAAAACACAAGGGCAAAACAAUGAAACAUUAUUUUAAGUAAAACUGAUAUGCUAAUAUAGGAUAGUAAAUGGAAUCAUACAAAAUCCUUAAUUCAAACCAGAAAAGAUUUAAAAAGAAACAAAUAACAAGUGAAAAGAAUAAAAACAGCUGCAAAUCUGGUAGAUAUUUACCUAACUAUAUCAAACAUUGCUUUAAAUGCAUCAAAACAAGGAAAAUGAUGAAGGAUAAAGAGGGGCAUUACAUAAUAAUGAAAAGUUCUCCAAAAAUAUAUAAUGAUAAUUAACAUGGACCCCUGAAAACAGAGCAUCGAGAUAAACAAGGAAAACUAGCAGGACUGCAGGAUAAACAUAGAAAAAGUCACUCAUUAUUGGAGAUUUCAACAAUCCAGCAGGGAGAAAGCCAGUAAGUAUAUGGUUGAACUAAAUGCCACUGAAAAUGUCUGUCUGAAGGAGAAGCAAGUAUCAUGCAGGCUGAUACUUAUUAACUUUCCACACGGAAGACAGUCAUUGUGACCUGGGAAAAAUUUAAGUGUGAGCAUGUAUGUAUUUGGACUAACUAAUGAAAGAAAGGUUGAAAGAAAGUGCACAGGAAGAGGCAAAAAGGGAAACUACAGGCCAAAGGUAUACAAUAGGGAAUGUAAAAAAGUUUCUAGGGCACUGCAGAAAGACAAUGUAUUCUAGUGAUUACCUUUAUUAGACUCUAUUGGAUCAGGAGCCAAUUCAUUAAACAUUAAUGGCAGGGGAAUGCCAUCCAUAUAUUAUAAAUAGCCAUUAAGUUGAGAUAGACAGCUCUGCACAGGGUCAGUAUGAAUUAAUAAAAAAACUGAAGCUGGCAUUUCAGAAUCAUAAAAAGGUAGAUUUAGUAGAAAAUAUUCAAUAAGAAUAAGGAAGAACAGUAUAUAUUACGCUAUUUGUCUGAAGAACAAACUAGAAAUGAGAAUAAAUUUACCAUAAACCUAAAAAUAACCUUCAUGACAAAACACUUAUUUCUUAAAAAUGGGUGUCAAUUACAUUUUAGAAUCUUAGCUGUUCAACGUGUGACAUUGGCAAAUGGUAAAUGCAAAGACAAAUGAGAAGUCAAUGUUCAAGUGGAAAUUAGACAAAAUGUUAAUGAAACCAGAAUAACCCCAUUGAAUAGAGUUCUACGUAUUUGUGACAGCUGAACUGAACUUAUUAGCAGAUAAGGUUGAAUUUCAAAUUUCUCUAUUGAGUUAAUUCUGGAAUCUGUCCCACUUGGUAGUAUUUACCAAGCAGGUUAUCUACAAAGGAAUCAUAAUUUUGUUAGUUUUAUCAUCAGUUUUCACUGCUAUAAGAGUGAAGAAUAUUAUAAAAAUUAUGUUAUUGAUGGCUAUUUAAAUAGGUAACCACAUUUGUAUAACUUUUUCUUACCUUCUUUCCUAAUUCACACCCAUUUUUUUUUCAGAUUUGAGCAAAGAAUUUAAAGAUACAUAUAAGAGUCUUUUGAUAUCUUAAAGUUUCUAAGAUAAUAACACAUAGACUUUGUAAGAAUUUCAUUGUGACAGCUAUUUUGACACAAAAAUGCAUGUCCCUUGUUAAUAAAAAUAACCAUAAACUUAGAAAUAAGACAAGGACUGUGGCAGUAGUGGUGUGUGGGUGUAUGGCAUGUCCUUUCAAUAUCAUACUGAGAUACUGUUUAAGAAGCCCACCUAAGGAUUUAAUUGCCUAUGAGAACAGACCUGCAUCUGAUUUUGCUAUGUACUUUUCCCCCCCCAAUUUCUGCUGUACAGCAAAGUGACUCAGUCACACAUAUCACUAUGUAAUUUUUGAUUAUUGUACAGCUACUGUGAAGUAACAACUAGUCAAUUUUUGUCUAGUAUAGAAACUAUCACAAAGGUUAUGAUUUUACUGCCCUGUAAGGUAGUCUCAGUUUUAUAUCUAACCUAGCAGUUUAUUAAAGUAUUUUCUCUCUGUGUCCCACCUACCUCCACUUAUUCUUUGAAUAAAUUGUUUAUAAUUACCUAUGUACCCACUGGAUUACACUGACUUCCACACUGAAGACUUAUUAAAAUUUGGUACAUAUAUAUUCUUUAUAGGUAGCAUAUUUUUAACUCUUUGAAAAUAAUACUUUGCCCUCCAUUAGGAUUCUGUGUAAAAUUAAAAAAAAAAAUAACCCAAUACCUUUUUCAUGAAUCUGGACAAACCAAAGCUGAAAUGAAUUGCCUUGUGACAGUCAAGCUGGGGUAAAACUGACAGCAGGUAACAGCAUUAUUUAUUGACAAAGCAAAAGCAUCAACUUUACUUAAGGGCUUCCACUGAAAAGACAUGGGGAGUAUCAAAUGCAACAACUUGAACAAAAUCUAUUUUGUUUUUGCCAGUAUUCUGAGAGAUAAAUCAACUCAAGUAAGGUAUCAUUAAUAAUGCACAAAAGGCUUAUACCCCAUGAGUUAUCAUGACAAGGGUCAGCCAUGUCAUCUUUUCUAGAAGGGUAUCAAUGAGUCACAUUACAAAAUAAGAGAUACAUACUUAAUACAAGGUAUAUUUAUAAAUCGUGACAUUUUCAUGGCACUUGCUUUUUGAUGUGUCAGUUUAGCUAAGGUGAACUACAGUCCUCAUUCAAUCAAACACUAAUCUAAAUGCUGCUGGGAAGGGAUCUUACACAUGUAAUUAAGGUAUCAGUUGAGUUUAAUUUGGGGAUGUUAUCUUGGGUGGGUUUGACUUAACUAAUUAGAAGUUUUUAAAGGAGGAUUUUGGAUGUCCUUUUUUAUUUUAUUUUAUUUUUUCUUUUGGCCAUACCCAUGGCAUAUGCAAGUUCCCCAGAAAGUGAUCAAACCUACACCACAGCAGCGACCCUCACCACAGCAGUGACAAUACUGGAUCCUUAACCUGCUGCACCACCAGGGAAAUCCUGGAUGUCACAUGGUUGAUGCUAGCUUCCAGCUGAGACCUGGGCUGGGGUUAUCAACUGGAACACUUAAACCUCACGACUAGCCUCUCCACAUGGUUAGAGUUCUCAAACCAUGUGGUAGUUGGUUUCCAAAGGAAAGCAUCCCAAGAGGGGGGCAAGGGAUGGUUGGAAGAAGGAAAAAGGGGAGGGGAGAGAACAAGCAAGGGAGCAAGCACCAACUAGGUAUAUCCUAUUCAUAUAGGCAGCUACAAAGUCC
rnacentral:lncRNA from 1 species